rnacentral:rRNA from 1 species
AACGAACGCUGGCGGCAGGCUUAACACAUGCAAGUCGAGCGCCCCGCAAGGGGAGCGGCAGACGGGUGAGUAACGCGUGGGAAUCUACCCAUCUCUACGGAAUAACCCAUGGAAACGUGUGCUAAUACCGUAUACGUCCUUCGGGAGAAAGAUUUAUCGGGGAUGGAUGAGCCCGCGUUGGAUUAGCUAGUUGGUGGGGUAAAGGCCUACCAAGGCGACGAUCCAUAGCUGGUCUGAGAGGAUGAUCAGCCACACUGGGACUGAGACACGGCCCAGACUCCUACGGGAGGCAGCAGUGGGGAAUAUUGGACAAUGGGCGCAAGCCUGAUCCAGCCAUGCCGCGUGAGUGAUGAAGGCCCUAGGGUUGUAAAGCUCUUUCACCGGUGAAGAUAAUGACGGUAACCGGAGAGGAAGCCCCGGCUAACUUCGUGCCAGCAGCCGCCGUAAGAC